GCAACUCGACUACAUGAAGCUGGAAUCGCUAGUAAUCGCGGAUCNGAAUGCCGCGGUGAAUACGUUCCCGGGUCUUGUACACACCGCCCGUCACACCAUGGGAGUCGGAAAUGCCCGAAGCCAGUGACCCAACGAAAGAGGGAGCUGUCGAAGGCAGGUCUGAUAACUGGGGUGAAGUCGUAACAAGGUACC
rnacentral:rRNA from 1 species